rnacentral:rRNA from 1 species
GUGGGGAAUAUUGGGCAAUGGGCGGAAGCCUGACCCAGCGACGCCGCGUGGGGGAAGAAGUCUUUCGGGAUGUAAACCCUUGUUGUACGGGACGAAGGAAGUGACGGUACCGUACGAGGAAGCCCCGGCAAACUACGUGCCAGCAGCCGCGGUAAUACGUAGGGGGCGAGCGUUGUCCGGAAUCACUGGGCGUAAAGCGCACGUAGGCGGGCUGUCAAGUCGGCCGUGAAAGGCACGGGCUCAACCUGUGCAUGUCGGUCGAUACUGGCGGUCUGGAGUAUGGGAGAGGGAACUGGAAUUCCCGGUGUAGCGGUGAAAUGCGUAGAUAUCAUCCAGAACACCGAUUGCGAAGGCAGGUGGCUGUACCUUAAUCGACGCUGAUGCACGAAAGCAUGGGGAGCAAACAGGAUUAGAAACCCGGGUAGUCC